rnacentral:rRNA from 1 species
UACAGAGGGUGCGAGCGUUAAUCGGAAUUACUGGGCGUAAAGCGUGCGUAGACGGUUAUUUAAGUCGGAUGUGAAAGCCCCGGGCUCAACCUGGGAAUUGCAUUCGAGACUGAAUAGCUAGGGUGCGGUAGAGGGAAGCGGAAUUUCCGGUGUAGCGGUGAAAUGCGUAGAUAUCGGAAGGAACAUCAGUGGCGAAAGCGGGGUCCUGGACCAGCACUGACGUUCAGGCACGAAAGCGUGGGGAGCAAACAGG